GCCGGAGACGGUACUAAACUCAGGGGAGGUAGACACACACACAUAAAAUAGCACAAAAUUCUAGGAGGCUGCGCAAGAAAGAUUAAACACAAAUCAAUAGGUACAGUUCAAAAGAAAAAAAAAUUAAAUUAAAUUAGCCACCACAAGAACAGUGUACUCGCUCGGGGCGUUAAGGCGAGUUAAAUGACGUUUGCCAAGGCCAGGGUUAUUGAUAGCGCUACCGGGAUAACUCCUCAACCACACUUACCUUACCUAGGUAUACUACUGUAAAUAUAUAAUGUCUUGUGAUAUGCUUUACAACCAAAAUUAAAAUGUAUACAUACUGACUGGUAAGUAUUUCAAACGUUAAAAAUAAAUUACUUGAAUGCCGCCAAAAUUUGACUGAACCAUAACCUCCAAUUAAAACAUAACCUCAAAUUAUACAAGUUUAAAUACUGUCAUAAAAAAACACAAAAAAAACAACACAGCAGGUUCAGGGGAACUAAGGAAAGAAACGGAAUGAAGGAUAGCUUAGAAAGAGUACUGAACGAUAAUGUUGGACAGCACACACACGACAGCUGACCUUUGGAUUAGCUGAAGAUGUAGGGGACUUGCCAGCGCAGUAGUCCGGAAUAAGAGUGCGGUGAACGGCAAAGGUGACGAUGGUUAUCCGCCACUCGGAUGGUAUGAAAGGGAAUCCUCCAACACAGAUACGACGACAAAAAUAAGGUCCUUAACGGGACAACAAUGCUCGAAGGCACAAUCAGAUAGAGAUAAAAGCUAAAAUAAGGAUAAUUUGAAUACUGUUACACUAUAGAAAACAUACCUCUACGAUGUUAGGCGAGCUUUAAGUGAAUGUGUUUGUUGAUCCGCAAUAGCGUAGAAAAUUAAAUACCAAAAAUACGAAACUGGUAAUAUCGCAGUAAAAUGAAGAAUUGGUGGAAACACAUGUAUGUCGACAAAAUGUCUUCAAGGAAGUGCAGAGUACAAUUGAUAAGAGCAACGUGAAAGGAAAAGUGAUAAUAGUUAUCAGUAACA